rnacentral:pre_miRNA from 1 species
UUCCCUUUGUCAUCCUAUGCCUGAUGGUAAUGAUGGGGGCUGGGACGGUAAAGGGACGU